AAAAUGCGAUACCUGGUGUGAAUUGCAGAAUCCCGUGAACCAUCGAGUUUUUGAACGCAAGUUGCGCCCGAAGCCAUCCGGCUGAGGGCACGCCUGCCUGGGCGUCACGCAUCGCGUCGCUCCCCACCAUACCUCCCCAACGGGUUGGCAUGGUGUUGGGGGCGGAUAAUGGCCUCCCGUGCUUGUGUUUCGGUUGGCCUAAAUAAGAGUUCCCUUCGGCGGACACACGACUAGUGGUGGUUGAAUAGACCCUCGUCUUUUGUUGCGUGUCGUGAGCUGUAAGGGUAGCCCUCAUCAAAGACCCCAUUGUAUCGUCUUCGGAUGAUGCUUCGACCGCGACCCCAGGUCAGGCGGGACUACCCGCUGAGUUUAAGC
rnacentral:misc_RNA from 1 species